GCCUGGGUGGCUCAGUCGGUUAAGCGUCUGACUUUGGCUCAGGUCAUGAUCUCGCGGUCCGUGGGUUCGAGCCCUGCGUCGGGCU
rnacentral:tRNA from 1 species